AGAGUUUGAUCGUGACUCAGAAUCAACGCUGGCGGCGUGCCUAACACAUGCAAGUCGAACGAGAAAGGGGAGCAAUCGCCAAGUAAAGUGGCGACCGGGUGAGUAACACGUGACUAACCUACCCUCGAGUGUGGAAUAACAUCGGGAAACCGAUGCUAAUACCGCAUAAUAACGCAAGAUCAAAGGAGCAAUCGACUUGAGGAGGGGGUCGCGACUGAUUAGCUAGUUGGCGGGGUAACGGCCCACCAAGGCGAAGAUCGGUAUCGGGCCUGAGAGGGCGCACGGACACACUGGAACUGAAACACGGUCCAGACUCCUACGGGAGGCAGCAGUGGGGAAUUUUGCGCAAUGGGGGAAACCCUGACGCAGCAACGCCGCGUGGAGGAUGAAGCCCCUUGGGGCGUAAACUCCUUUCGACCAAGACGAUAAUGACGGUACUGGUGGAAGAAGCACCGACUAACUCUGUGCCAGCAGCCGCGGUAAUACAGAGGGUGCAAGCGUUGUUCGGAAUUAUUGGGCGUAAAGGGCGCGUAGGCGGCGCGACAAGUCACCUGUGAAAUCCCCGGACUUAACUCGGGGCCUGCAGGCGAAACUGUCGUGCUGGAGUAUGGGAGAGGUGCGUGGAAUUCCCGGUGUAGCGGUGAAAUGCGUAGAUAACGGGAGGAACACCUGUGGCGAAAGCGGCGCACUGGACCAUAACUGACGCUGAGCGCGAAAGCUAGGGGAGCAAACAGGAUUAGAUACCCUGGUAGUCCUAGCCCUAAACGAUGAUUGCUUGGUGUGGUGGGUACCCAAUCGCACUGUGCCGUAGCUAACGCGAUAAGCAAUCGGCCUGGGAGUACGUCGCAAGCUGAAACUCAAAGAAUUGACGGGGCCCGCACAAGCGGUGGAGCAUGUGGUUCAAUUCGACGCAACGCGAAGAACCUUACCUGACUCGA
rnacentral:rRNA from 1 species